UUUUGAGUGCUUGAAAUUGUCAAAUAAUCACUUAUUUGACAAUUUAAAGCAAAUCCCAAAACAUGUUCUUAACUCCAAACAGGGCUUGACUCUCGGAUGUAGCACAAGUGCUCCUCAAACCGUACUCGUUCGGCUGUAGCCCAUACUCACUGGACACGUCUUGGGCAAGAGGCCUAAAGCAAAUAAGCUGGUAAGAUGAAGCACUUUCGAAGCAGCUUCAGUUGGGCCCAACCAAACAGAGCCUUCAACAUUAAGACAAUUUCCAAGAAUUUUCCCCGACCGCACGUGUUCGGGCCCACGAGUGGCGGCCUUUUAUGAAUCGGGCUAACGAGUCCAAAGUUC
rnacentral:lncRNA from 1 species